rnacentral:rRNA from 1 species
AACGAACGCUGGCGGCAUGCCUAACACAUGCAAGUCGAACGAUGCUUUCGGGCAUAGUGGCGCACGGGUGCGUAACGCGUGGGAAUCUGCCCUUGGGUUCGGAAUAACAGUUGGAAACGACUGCUAAUACCGGAUGAAGACGAAAGUCCAAAGAUUUAUCGCCUGAGGAUGAGCCCGCGUAAGAUUAGGUAGUUGGUGGGGUAAAGGCCUACCAAGCCGACGAUCUUUAGCUGGUCUGAGAGGAUGAUCAGCCACACUGGGACUGAGACACGGCCCAGACUCCUACGGGAGGCAGCAGUGGGGAAUAUUGGACAAUGGGCGAAAGCCUGAUCCAGCAAUGCCGCGUGAGUGAUGAAGGCCUUAGGGUUGUAAAGCUCUUUUACCCGGGAUGAUAAUGACAGUACCGGGAGAAUAAGCCCCGGCUAACUCCGUG